rnacentral:sRNA from 1 species
GCCAGGCACACUGGCAUGCGCCUGUCAUCCCAGCAGCUCAGGAGGCUGAGGCAGGAGGAUCAUGAGUUCAAGGCCAGCCUCAGCAAUGGCGAGGCACUAAGCACCUCAGUGAGACCCUGUCUCUA